rnacentral:rRNA from 1 species
AGAGUUUGAUCCUGGCUCAGGAUGAACGCUGGCGGCGUGCUUAACACAUGCAAGUCGAACGGGGAACAUUUUAUGGAAGCUUCGGUGGAAAUAGCUUGUUCCUAGUGGCGGACGGGUGAGUAACGCGUGGGUAACCUGCCUCACACUGGGGGAUAACAGUCAGAAAUGACUGCUAAUACCGCAUAAGCGCACGGGAUUGCAUGAUCCAGUGUGAAAAACUCCGGUGGUGUGAGAUGGACCCGCGUUGGAUUAGCCAGUUGGCAGGGUAACGGCCUACCAAAGCGACGAUCCAUAGCCGGCCUGAGAGGGUGGACGGCCACAUUGGGACUGAGACACGGCCCAGACUCCUACGGGAGGCAGCAGUGGGGAAUAUUGCACAAUGGGGGAAACCCUGAUGCAGCGACGCCGCGUGAAGGAAGAAGUAUCUCGGUAUGUAAACUUCUAUCAGCAGGGAAGAAAAUGACGGUACCUGACUAAGAAGCCCCGGCUAACUACGUGCCAGCAGCCGCGGU